UACAGAGGUGGCAAGCGUUGUUCGGAAUUACUGGGCGUAAAGGGCGCGUAGGCGGCCCGUCUAAGUCAGACGUGAAAUCCCCCCGGCUUAACCUGGGAACUGCGUCUGAUACUGGAGGGCUUGAGUGCGGGAGAGGGAUGUGGAAUUCCAGGUGUAGCGGUGAAAUGCGUAGAUAUCGGGAGGAACACCAGUGGCGAAGGCGACUUCUUGGCCGUGUUCUUGACGCUGAGGCGCGAAAGCUGGGGGAGCAAACGG
rnacentral:rRNA from 1 species